rnacentral:tRNA from 1 species
AGGGGCUUAGGAUAGCAUUAAACCGGGAGCCUUCAAAGCUCUAAACAGAAGUGAAAAUCUUCUAGCCCCUG